rfam:Hordeum vulgare subsp. vulgare, WGS project CAJW01000000 data, contig: morex_contig_22502
GCUAGGAAGAGGAAGAAAGAGAGGGCCUAAGAGCAAUGGGAAUGAGAACAUAGAGGAAAACCUAAUCGGUUCUUCACCUCUUGUGUUGACUUGUAAAUCUUGCUUGGUAUUUCCCAAUGCCUCUCAUUUCUAUCGUUCUUAAGCGCCUCCUUCCACUUUCUUUUUGUU